AGAGUUUGAUCCUGGCUCAGGAUGAACGCUGGCGGCGUGCCUAAUACAUGCAAGUCGAGCGGUAAGGUCCCUCCAAAUUACUUAAAAUAUUGAGUAAUUUGGUGGGAUACACGAGCGGCGGACGGCUGAGUAACGCGUAGGAACGUACCCCAAAGUGAGGGAUAAGCAUCGGAAACGGUGUCUAAUACCGCAUAUGGUCUACGGAUUAAAGUUUUAACGCUUUGGGAGCGGCCUGCGUAUGAUUAGCUAGUUGGUGAGGUAAUAGCUCACCAAGGCGACAAUCAUUAGCUGGUCUGAGAGGAUGAUCAGCCAGACUGGGACUGAGACACGGCCCAGACUUCUACGGAAGGCAGCAGUAGGGAAUUUUCCACAAUGGGGGCAACCCUGAUGGAGCAACGCCGCGUGCAGGAUGACGGCCUUCGGGUUGUAAACUGCUUUUAUGGGUGAAGAAUCUGACAGUAACCCAAGAAUAAGGGACGGCUAACUACGUGCCAGCAGCCGCGGUCAUACGUAGGUCCCAAGCGUUGUCCGGAAUUACUGGGCGUAAAGAGUUGCGUAGGCGGUUUUGUAAGCAAAAUGUGAAAGCAUGUAGCUCAACUACAUAAACAUAUUUUGAACUGCAGAACUAGAGGUCGAGAGAGGUAACUGGAAUUUCGUGUGUAGGAGUGAAAUCCGUAGAUAUACGAAGGAACACCGAUGGCGUAGGCAGGUUACUGGCUCGCACCUGACGCUAAGGCACGAAAGCAUGGGUAGCAAACGGGAUUAGAUACCCCGGUAGUCCAUGCCGUAAACGAUGGAUGCUAGCUGUUGGUCGAUUCGACCCGAUCAGUAGCGAAGCUAACGCGUUAAGCAUCCCGCCUGUGGAGUACGAGCGCAAGCUUAAAACAUAAAGGAAUUGACGGGGACCCGCACAAGCGGUGGAGUGUGUUGUUUAAUUCGAUGGUAAACGAAGAACCUUACCCAGGUUUGACAUCCUUGGAAUCUUGCCGAAAGGCGAGAGUGCUUUUGAACCAAGUGACAGGUGUUGCAUGGCCGUCGUCAGCUCGUGUCGUGAGAUGUUUGGUUAAGUCCAUCAACGAGCGCAACCCCUGUAGUUAGUUGUAUUUUUCUAGCUAGACUGCCCUGGUAACAGGGAGGAAGGAGGGGAUGAUGUCAGGUCAGUAUUGCCCUUACACCUGGGGCUACAAACACGCUACAAUGGCCAGUACAAUGGGCAGCCAACCCGCGAGGGGGAGCUAAUCCUAUCAAAGCUGGUCUCAGUUCGGAUAGCAGGCUGAAACUCGCCUGCUUGAAGCUGGAAUCGCUAGUAACGGCAAGUCAGAAGAUUGCCGUGAAUACGUUCCCGGGUCUUGUACACACCGCCCGUCAAACCAUGAAAGUCACCAAUACCUGACGUCCCAGCUAGACUGGGCCUAAGGUAGGGGGGGAUGAUUGGGGUUAAGUCGUAACAAGGUAUCCGUAGCGGAA
rnacentral:rRNA from 1 species